CGGCGAGGCCCUUUAGCUCGCCGCCAUUUUGAGCAGCGGGCUCUGAGGAGCAGCAGCGGCAGCCGGCGCGCCUCUCUUUCUCCGCCUUCCCCAUCACCAUCAUGUCGCGGGAUCGGUUCCGUAGCCGUGGAGGCGGCGGAGGGGGCUUCCAUCGGCGCGGCGGUGGCGGUGGCCGCGGCGGCCCCAACCACGAUUUCCGCUCUCCGCCGCCCGGCAUGGGCAUGGGCCAGAACCGCGGGCCUAUGGGGGGCGGCCCGCAGGGCCCCGGCGGCCCGCCGGGCGGAGGCCCGAAGUCUGAACCGCCCAAGCCUCCGGCGUCGACCUCCGCUCCACCGUCCUCGUCCUCUUCGUCCUCCGCCACCACGGCGGGCCCCGCCGGCAGCCAGUCCGGCCCCGGGGCGCCUCCUCCGUCCGCCCUGCCCGCGGGGCAGCCGCCGCAGCAGCAGGCCCAGGGCUCCGCGCCCUCCUCCGCGCCCUCCGGCCCCGGGGGGCAGCAGCAGCCGCAGCCCAAGCCGAGCCCCAGCCCCACCCCGGCCGGCGGCCCUAAGAAAGGACAAGGACAGUCGCCCGGCGGCGGGCCCAAGGGGCCAGGCGGGCCGCAGCAGGGGCCGGGCGGGCCUCACAAGGGCGGGCCGGGCCACCGCGGCGGGCCGGGCGGGGAGCCGAGGGGCCGGGGGCAGCAGCACCAGGGACAGCAGAGCCUCUCCUCGCAGCAGGGCCCGGCCGGCGGCGACAAGCUUUCGGACGAGGGCUUUAAGGCAAACCUCUCCCUGCUGAGGAGGCCCGGGGAGAAGACUUACACUCAGAGGUGCCGUUUGUUUGUUGGGAAUUUGCCCGCCGAUAUAACGGAUGAAGACUUUAAAAGGUUGUUUGCCAAAUACGGGGAGCCGGGAGAGGUUUUUAUCAACAAAGGAAAAGGCUUUGGCUUCAUUAAGUUGGAAUCUAGAGCUCUGGCAGAAAUCGCCAAGGCAGAACUGGACGACACCCCCAUGCGGGGCCGGCAGCUCCGCGUUCGCUUUGCCACGCACGCCGCCGCGCUGUCAGUGCGUAACCUUUCUCCUUACGUGUCCAACGAGUUACUGGAGGAAGCUUUCUCCCAGUUCGGUCCGGUGGAGAGAGCUGUUGUGAUUGUAGAUGAUCGAGGUAGAUCAACGGGAAAAGGCAUUGUUGAAUUUGCGUCAAAGCCAGCUGCCAGAAAAGCGUUUGAACGGUGUACUGAGGGAGUGUUCUUGUUGACGACCACCCCUAGGCCAGUUAUUGUGGAACCGUUGGAGCAACUGGAUGAUGAAGAUGGUCUUCCAGAAAAGCUUGCUCAGAAGAACCCGAUGUACCAAAAGGAAAGAGAAACUCCUCCCCGUUUUGCCCAGCCUGGCAGUUUUGAGUUUGAAUAUUCCCAGAGAUGGAAAUCUUUAGAUGAAAUGGAAAAACAACAGAGAGAACAAGUGGCAAAAAACAUGAAAGAUGCCAAGGACAAACUCGAGAGUGAGAUGGAAGAUGCUUAUCACGAGCAUCAGGCAAACCUCUUGCGUCAAGACCUUAUGAGGCGUCAGGAGGAACUGAGACGUAUGGAAGAACUCCAUAAUCAGGAAAUGCAGAAACGCAAGGAAAUUCAGCUCAGGCAGGAGGAGGAGCGUCGCAGACGGGAGGAGGAGAUGAUGAUCCGUCAGCGAGAGAUGGAAGAACAGAUGAGAAGGCAGAGGGAAGAGAAUUACAGUAGAAUGGGUUAUAUGGAUCCCAGGGAGAGAGACAUGAGAAUGGGUGGUGCCACCACAAUGAACAUGGGAGAUCCUUAUGCUUCUGCAGCCCAGAAAUUUCCACCUCUUGGAGGUGGAGGCGGCAUAGGUUAUGAAGCUAAUCCAGGAGUUGGCCAAGCAGCCAUGAGUGGUUCUAUGAUGGGAAGUGACAUGCGUCCUGAACGCUUUGGGCAGGGAGGUGCGGGGCCUGUGGGUGGCCAGGGUCCUAGAGGAAUGGGGCCUGGAACACCAACAGGAUAUGGUAGAGGGAGAGAAGAAUACGAAGGCCCAAACAAAAAGCCCCGAUUUUAGAUGUGACCUGUAGUUUCAUUCCAGUUUGUUUUGUCUGUCUUGUUUAGACACCAACUUUUUAAUUCUUGCAUUUUAGUAAGAAAGCUACGUUUUUAUGGAUGUUAGAAACUUACUGACCUAAUAUUUGUAAGUGGUCUGUUUGGGCAAGUACAACUUAAUUAUGUAAUGCAGUGUUUCAAAACAAGUUUAGCUGUUUUUUUGAUGUAUAACGUCCCUAACUUGAUGGCAGUGUACGUUGUGCCACUGAAUUCCCAAAGUGUACCAACUUUUUUUUACUGUGCUUCAAAUAAAUAGAAAACUAAAUGUAGUAACUUUUCUUGCCAUUCAUGGUUAAAUUAAGAGGCUAAAUAUAAUAUAACCACACCUUCAGCAGUAAACUGAGAGUCUUGCCAUAGAGAUCCAACUAGGCCCAGGGUGUGGAACUGUAGUGAAGAGCUGAGAUCUCUUCCCAUGAAGCCUCUAGCCUAAGACUGGGACAAAUAGCUUAACUGCCCAGUAGGUGCAGAUUUUUGAUCGUUGGGCUGCAAUAAGAAAGCAACUCAAAAUCUUGCAGGUGCUGUCAGAUAACGGUAACGAAAGCUACGCUGCAAGUAAUGCAGCAUGUAAAGCAUUUCUUACCUUAGCUCUGGAGGACGGGUGGUGGGCUGGUUGCACUUACCACCUUGGCAGUUACUGCUUGAUACUUUCUAAAGACUUUAAGCAGAAGACUAGCAAUGGUUAUUUUAAAAUAAACCCAUAGAAAGACUUGUAUUGACCGACUCCCUAACUUACGGGUUAUUAAUGAGAUAUUUAUAUGCUCUUAAGCUGUUUGAGAUUGCAGGAUCUGGCCUUGCUCCGUAUUGUGUACCUGCCUGAAACUGCUUGGCAAAAAAAAAAAACCCCAGAAGUGCUGCUCAAGUGAUUAGGGGAGAACCUGCUAAUUCAUACUUGUAACUUGCUUAUGUCCUCGUGCUAAUUGAGUGGACUAAUUUGCAUAGCUCAGAAUUCAAUUGUAUUAUGGGGGCUGCAGGAGCUAGUCCUGAAUCUUGUAGCUGCUGGAUAAAUCAUAAAAGCCUGUAUGUAAAAUACAGAGAAAUGAGCAUUCUUGCACGAUGGCUAUUGUUAUUAUUGAUGUGUAGAGGUAAUGCAUCAAAAGCAGUAUCUAAAUCUGGAGUUAAUGCUGCACCGUACAAAUAAAUUCCCUUCAAGGCUGUUUUGUAGAUCUGAUGAAUUCGUUAGCUUGCUGUUAAUUUCAUUAACUCCCCUCAGGAGAAUUUCAAAGCAUUCUGGACUCAAGGUAGUUGCUUUGCUUAUUAUUACAUUGUACCAGAUAAGCUGGGAACGCGACUUCCCAGCAUAAAAUGCCUUGGUGUUAAUGCAGGAUACACGAACCUGCUUAGCACGCAGUAGGUAGACGUAGCUGGCUGUACCUUCAUGCAAUUCCCCAACUACUGAGCGUUCUGUAAGUAGUUUCAAUCUUAACAGUGAUCUUUCCACUCCUCGUGCUGAGCAUUGGCUAACUCUAAAUUCUGUGCUAAAUUCUCUGUGGUUAAAAGUUCAGUGUCAGAUGUGCAGUAUCUUAGAGUGCAGAUGAUUGCUUGUGAAGUACUCACUGUAAGUGCUGAUACCCCUUAAAUGACCAAAGUGGCAUGUUGUGAAAUACUGGUCCCAGGUAACACUGACUGGAACAUUCAGUGCACCAAAUAGUGACUCAGCUGGUUUGGUGAAUGCUUUUUAUCUUCCCAGAAAAGUUUGGAGAUUGAUAACGUGCUAAGACAAUGAAUUGUUACUCAGGAAGCUCUGAACUGGCAGUUCCUGCACUGCAGACCAGGUAUCUGGGAGUACUUGUGUUGGAUAUCGAGCUUAAAACCAGCAGUCCCACUGCAAUUUGCUUCAAGGAGAACUAAAUAAUGCCUGUGUUUUCUGCAGGGUGUUCGUGGGACACCCACAAAAACGGAAGGUGUCUGAGCUGGGGAAUUCUGAACGCAAACAUGAAAUUAAUGUUUUCAGUUUAUUUUUCAGAUGACAUGUCAUUCUUUAUUAAAGAGAUGCUGGUGCAUAUCCUAAAGUACGUUCUUUUGUAGCUCUGUAACUGAAGAGUGGAGGAUGCUGAUGUCCUUGUACCUUACAGAGGUGGUCUUUUGGUACCCUGUUUUGUACAUAAGCUACUGCUGGUAGCAUAGAUGAGUUGCAAAAACAAUGACUAUAGUAAAUAUAUGGAGAGGAUUUGGCAGUUUUCAAAAGAUCUGAAAGCUCGGCUAAAUCUGGCUUGGUUGUAGCUGCAUAAGCAGAAUCUCUAAAAUGAGCUCUGCUUUGAGUUGCACGUAUUCAACAGGCAUGACAAUUAAAUAGCCAACUUCACUUCAAGACCUUUUAAAGGUAGUAUCUUAAAAGCUGGCAAACAUGUCAAUGUUAAAACGUGAUCAAGUUAUGAAACGUGGGAGGUGAGAAGCUCAUGUUCCUUUGAUCUGUUCCGAUGAGGUUUUGGACUUUUUUCAGCAAAUCAGAUCGAUGUAACUGAAUCAUCAAAGCAACUAAGAAAAGUGCUUGGUUGGGCAGACCUGUUCCUGGCUGGGUCUGCCUUGCAUAACCUAUUUUUGUACUGGACUUGGAGGACAUUGGCUGUUGCAAUUUAGCUUUGUUUUAACAAAAUUUGAGCCCUUUUUGACACUUGAUAUCUAAAAACUGCAGCAUGUAGAAACUGGUAUCUUCAUAUCUUCACACUUUCUCAAAUGAAUAGAGAAUGAUCCCAUCUUCUGGUGUAGACACGUUAACUAAUCAUGUAUACAGCUGAUGAGAACCUGAAACUGCUUUUGAGAUUUUGUGGUAUUUUUGUGGUAGAAAAAUUCUUGGCUUCUCCUUGGCAACCAUUUAUUGUGGCAGCAAGCUUUUGCUGGAGUUUCUGAGACUGCAAUUUACACUUAAAACUAGUGGCCUGCUACAUAACUGCACUUAGCCAGCAUUUCUGCAGUUCAUAACUGUGAGGAACGUAGUACCACAAAUGGCAAUGGACAUUAGGACCCGGAUGUAGUAUUCCUGCUUGCUCCAAGAUUCUCAUUGCCGACUGCAUACAGGUAGGUAACAAGCAAUAUAAUAUAACUUGGUGACUUUCUAUGUAAUCUUAUACUGUGGCUAUUCUGACAUCACACUUCUGACUGUGGAAUUACAGUGCAGCACUCUUCAUACCUGUAUGUUAAACUUGCAUCAAAGCUGCGUGGUUUUCGGUUUUAAGCUUCUGCCUUGUUCAAAGCCAGUAGGCAACGACUUACUGUGGUUCUUAGCAAAGUGCUUUCAGACCCGAUUCCUUUGUACGUGUGGCUCGGCCUGUGUGCAUUUCUCUCAGUUACGGUGUGACGAAGAUGUUCUUGGAGGAGCUCUGUGGGGAAGAGGGAGCGUGGUCUUGCACUCAGUGAACAAGUCAACCCAGUGCUCUCAGUGCAUAGGACAGGGCCGAUCAAACUUUCCGCAGUGACAGUGGCCCAUUUGCAAUGCAUCCCUUGAUGUAGAGUCUUGGCUCGGUAGGAAAUGUGUCAGUAAUCGCUGCUGUAGCCCUGUGUAAACUGGUAGCCAAAGCUCAGUAAACGUGGUCAGCUUCAGGAUGGAUUGGGAAUGCUUCUCAGGACAUACAUAUGACUGCUUGAGUGAAUAGCCCUGUAAAAUUUCAGUAGAGCUUAUUGGACAUCUCACUUGUCUUUAAUUAACCCUCGAUUGGCAAACAAAGUACAUUUCUCUGCCUUGGACAGUGGUGAGGUUCUAUACUUCUGCCUCUCAGUCAUCUUGGUAGUGUGAUGCUCAUCUUCAUUUCUCAUCUGUCUCGAGGAUGUGAUUCUAAACUCUUCAUUAAUAGAAAUGCUGAAUGUAGCUUUUCAGGAUUAACGUGUUUACUUUUCCAGACAUCCAGACAUGCUGAUCUCCAGCUCUUUUGCAUGAGUUCUUGAACCUGAAUUUCAAGGUCCCUUGUUUCAGCACACGAUCUGGCUCGUCUGAUCAGCUUUUUCAGAGGUGCUGUGAUGUGUUUUCUCACUUGAUCUGCAAAGUUCUGCUUUGCAUACUCGUUUCUGGUAUUUUGGACCAAUCUGUGUUAUGUUCAAGAAAAUACUCUUGCUGUCCAACACGCGAUCUGGUCAGCCUUGCCCUGCUGUAGUUAGCUUACAGUGUUCCUCUGAAAGCAGCCAGCUGCACCUUGCAUCUCAAGACUGCAAUGCUAGGCCUUUGCUUAGAGCGCAGUGAGUGUAGCUCAAAUCUGACCAAACAGGGGCACAGUUUGUCACAAAGUCAGUUUGAUUUUUUAUUUAUUUUUUUUUUGGUGAUGGCUUACUCUAAACCUGGGACUGGAAUUCAGCAGCAAAACUGCUGACAGUGUGCAUGCUGUCAUGUAGUAAAACGGAACUGUUAAUCUUUAAACCGAUGCUCAGAUGGAAGUAGUAUUUCCAGUGUGCUCUGGACACUUGACUUUACCUGCAGAAAUGUCGUGGAGGGGUUAUGGGCACAUCUGCUCUAUUCUACAUGCUUAAACUCGGUAGGGUUUUGACACUCUUGGAGCAAGCAACCUGUGACUGAACCAUAGGUCUCAUACCAGCUCUGACUGCCUGCAGUAAUGAAACUCGGUGUGGUAGAUAACUGAAAAGCCAGUCUGUAACAAGCGCGUACCAACCAAUGGCAUUGAAGUGCUUGCAUUGUGUUUCAUCUUGGUUUUCUAUCUUGGUGUGAAACACACUUUUUCUCAAAAAGAUCAUCUGAAGCUCAGAAGUGUGGUGUCAGAAUACAUAUGCGUACCUGUUAGGCCCUCAGGCCAGAUUCUGGUGCUGUCAGGAGAGCACAGCAUAGCGUGUAUGGGGGCUUUACUGUAACAUUAAGCAUCCAAAGUGUUGAUUUGCUUGCAGUUUUCCCCAUAGCUAAACACUGAGGCCUGUGAGUAGUUUUAGGACUUCAGCAGUAAUGGGGUUGCAUGUCUCUGUUAAUCAUUGCCAGCUGCAGUGACAUGAUCAGGAAGGCCAGUGUUCUGUUCCAUCACGUUAAAUAAGGCUAAGCUCGUUAGAAAGGAUGCAUAAAAAGUAUUGCUGCUCUGACUAAUUACUUGGCUUCUUCCACUACUAGGAAGUUUGGAAUCGGCUAAUUAGCUUCAGAUUUCUCUCUCCAUACCAGCUAGUGGGGCUCUUAAAUAGCUACUUACUGGAAAAGGAAAAAAGGGAGGAUUGGCCUUCUCCCACUUCUGUCAUUGCUGCUAGGUAAUGAUUGACAUGUUAGGACUUGGCUGUGCAAUCCCGCAGUGGUCUGUGAAACCCCAUCUCUAUAAAUGUUGCUUCUGAGCACCAGUACUGAAGAGCUAACUGGGAGGGCUGGGAGGAGUGUGGCUAUAGAAGUGAAUCUGGAGUGUUAAAAGGAUGCACAAAGAUAUAGUAUCCCUUAUGCAUGGUGUUUGUUGCUAUGGCAUAGAAAACAAAAUGUGCAUACUCUCUUUCUGCUCCCGAGGGCCAUGAUAAAACCCAGGUGGUGGGUUGGAGACUAAACUUGAACUUUUCCCUACCUGGUGAAAUCCCACUGUGAGCAUUGCGAUUUGCCUCCCAGCUUGAGGUGUGCACAGAACCUUGUACUGCUACAUCCCUAGUUGCUAACCAUUGAAGUUUGCCCUCAAUUAAGCUGUAAGUAAAAGGGGGGGGGAGGUCAGAAGGGAAGAAGCUGUCGCUUAGAAUAAAAGCAGUAGACUUCCAGUGCUAAUCUCUAGUGUCUUCCUUUGGCUUUUGAAGCACUUCUAGGACUAUCGAACUGGGGGCUGCUAGGAAUAAGGGGCACUGCACUCCUUCACGAAGCAGAAGGAAGAGGGCAUUGUACAGGAGACAAACUAGGCUCAAAUAGAAGAAGUAGCUUGAUUGGAAUCCUUAAUGCCUUCACAUAAGGGAUAGUAUACCUCUGGCUGCAAUCAAACCACAUUGUACUCAGACUGGUGAUUUACGGUUUGUGCUCUGACAAGGUGCAGUUCUUCAGUCAACUACAUGCAUUUUCCUUCACUUCUUUACAAGUGCUUAGGCUAGCCUAUUUCUGCCCCUUAUUCUUCCAUUUAAUAUUUUGGAAUAGUUUGUAAAUUCCCCUUCAUAACUAAUCAGUCCACGUAUCUGAAAUCUUUGCUUUUUAAGUUAGCUUUGAAAUGGUUAGAAGUUUCUGUAUGUUAUUGUAAUAACUUCACUUGUUAUCCUUUAGGUGAAGAUGCGAGCUGAGUGAAACUGGGGUGCUCAUCCAUGAGAGUUCAGGAGCUGAGCAUGAGCACAUCCAGCGUGAUGUCCCGUGAUGUGAGUGGAGCAAGGGAACAAGGCAACAAUGAAGCACGAAGCCACUUCAGAUCUUUUAAGUUUGAAGUAGAGGACAAUGUGGAUGCUGUUCAUUUCAUCUCAAGCCUAACGAGAGACCUUAAGAUUCUAGAGAAAGUCUGUCAGGUGCAUGGCCUUCCCUCGUGAUGCACUGAUUCCCUUUCUGUGUGGCUGCUUGUGAUUUCUGGUGGCGAUUUCUAUGUUCUGGCUAACGGCACGCUUUGUACUUGCAGAAGAAGACGAAGCCCAAAUGCAGUGAAGAGGAGCCAGGAACGUUCUAGGAGUUUUUAAAAAUAAAGUAUUUGAAUUUUCUUAA